rnacentral:lncRNA from 10 species
AGGGAGAAAAGCCCGCCCGAGGCGCGGUGCUGACGGUGGCUGGGCUGCCGGGUGCGCUGUGGAACCGCCUCCUGCUAGAGCAGCGGGCUGGCGACGGUCCUCGCCGGGGCGGGAAGCGGCUCAGGCUGCCCUCGCUGGCCUGCGGCGGCGCGGCUGGAAGCGCGGGCCACUCGUGCGUGGGUCACUCAGGACUGCGCCUCGCGCGACUGUGUGUGCAGGAAACAAGCAGGAAAUACCCUAAAAGAGAAUGAAGCGCCAUGUUGAGGGUCGCGGACGUCGCGAGUGCUGUGGGAAUGUGGGCUGAGGUGGAGAGUUAUGGUAGCCCGUGUUACAGGCUCAGGGGUCUGAAAGAAGCCUAAUCGUGGAGGCGGCAUCUGAGGAGGGUCUUGAAGGCUGGGCAGGCAUUUGCCCGACAGAGAUGGAGGAAGCUAGUCCUGUCUGAUGGAGGAAACAGGGCGGAGGCGUGGAGGGAGCCGUGCAGCGCUGGUGUGAGGAGCAGCGAGCAGGCCAGGCCUGUAAAGCAGAGUGAGGGAACCAGGAUAGAGAAGGCUGUACAGGAAGCAUGGUGAUGGCAUCUGCAUGGCGCCUGUGGAGGCCCCAGGGAGCUUUUACUCAUGAUGGAAGGCACAGAGGGAGUAGGCACAUCACAUGGUCCGAGGAGGAGCAAGAGAAAAUGGGAGUGGGGGUAAGUACCACACACCCUUACACAACCAGAUCUUGAAAGAAUUCACUAUCACAAGGACGGCAUCAGGCCAUGAGAGAUCCAUCCCCAUGACCCUACCAGGCCCCACCUCCAACACUGAGGAUUACAUUUCAUCAUGAGAUUUAUAGGGGCCACCUUCCAAACCAUUUCAUACACCACGGAAUACUAUGCAGCCAUAAAAAUAACAAAAUCAUGUCCUUUGAAACAACAUGGAUGCAGCCGGAGGCCAUUAUCCUAAGUGAAUUAAUGCAGGAACAUAAAACAAAAUACCACAUGAUCCCACUUAUAAGUGGGAGCUAAACACUGGGUACUCAUGGACAUAAAGAUGGAAAGAAUAAACACCGGGACUACUAGAGGGGAGAA